rnacentral:rRNA from 1 species
GAUCAAGCUACGAAGAGCGUAUGGAGGAUGCCUUGGCACUACGCGCCGAAGAAGGACGUGACAAGCUGCGAUAAGCUACGGGGAACUGCAAAUAAGUGUUGAUCCGUAGAUUUCCGAAUGAGGAAACUCACUGCAUAGAAGAUGCAGUAUCUUUACACAAAUACAUAGUGUAUCGAAGGGAACCCGGUGAACUGAAACAUCUCAUUAACCGGAGGAAAAGAAAGUAAAUUAACGAUUCCGAGAGUAGUGGCGAGCGAAAUUGGAAGAGCCCAAACUUUUAGUAGUGAUAUUAAAAGGGUUACGGACCCACAUAAUCACUAAAUGUUGGUAGUCGAAGCAGAUCUGGAAAGGUCGGCCAAAGAAAGUGAUAGCCUUGUAGGCGGCAUCGACAUUUAGGUGGUGGGUAUCCAGAGUACCACAGGACACG